rnacentral:rRNA from 1 species
UGAGGAAUAUUGGUCAAUGGGACGGGGAGUCUGAACCAGCCAAGUAGCGUGCAGGAUGACGGCUCUAUGGGUUGUAAACUGCUUUUAUAGGGGGAUAAAGUGUGCCACGUGUGGCAUAUUGCAGGUACCCUAUGAAUAAGGACCGGCUAAUUCCGUGCCAGCAGCCGCGGUAAUACGGAAGGUCCGGGCGUUAUCCGGAUUUAUUGGGUUUAAAGGGAGCGUAGGCCGUCUUAUAAGCGUGUUGUGAAAUGCCGCGGCUCAACCGUGGCACUGCAGCGCGAACUGGUUUUCUUGAGUGCGCGCGACGCAGGCGGAAUUCGUGGUGUAGCGGUGAAAUGCUUAGAUAUCACGAAGAACUCCGAUUGCGAAGGCAGCUCACUGGAGCGCAACUGACGCUGAAGCUCGAAAGUGCGGGUAUCGAACAGGAUUAGAUACCCUGGUAGU